AUUGAACGCUGGCGGCAGGCCUAACACAUGCAAGUCGAGCGAGCGGCGGACGGGUGAGUAAUGUAUGGGGACUGCCCGAUAGAGGGGGAUAACUACUGGAAACGGUGGCUAAUAACGCAUCCUAGCGGGUCACCCAUAUGAGAUUGGCUAGUAGGUGGGGUAAAGGCUCACAUAGGCGAAGAUCUCUAGCUGGUCUGAGAGGAUGAGCAGCCAAAUCGGGACUGCGAUACGGCCCAGAAUCCAAGGGAGGCAGCAGCGGGGAAUAUUGCACACUGGGCGCAAGCCUGAGGCGGCCAUGACGCGUGUAUGAAGGAGGCCUUAGGGUUGUAAAGUACUUUCAGCGGAGAUGCGUUACCCGCAGAAGAAGCACCGGCUAACUCCGUGCCAGCAGCCGCGGUAAUAC
rnacentral:rRNA from 1 species